rnacentral:rRNA from 1 species
UGUGCCUACAAAUAGUCAGAGCCCGUUAACGGGUGAUGGCGUGCCUUUUGUAGAAUGAACCGGCGAGUUACGAUCCCGUGCGAGGUUAAGCUGAAGAGGCGGAGCCGCAGCGAAAGCGAGUCUGAAUAGGGCGUUUAGUACGUGGUCGUAGACCCGAAACCAGGUGAUCUACCCAUGUCCAGGGUGAAGUUCAGGUAACACUGAAUGGAGGCCCGAACCCACGCACGUUGAAAAGUGCGGGGAUGAGGUGUGGGUAGCGGAGAAAUUCCAAUCGAACCUGGAGAUAGCUGGUUCUCCCCGAAAUAGCUUUAGGGCUAGCCUUAAGUGUAAGAGUCUUGGAGGUAGAGCACUGAUUGGACUAGGGGUCCUCAUCGGAUUACCGAAUUCAGUCAAACUCCGAAUGCCAAUGACUUAUCCUUAGGAGUCAGACUGCGAGUGAUAAGAUCCGUAGUCAAAAGGGAAACAGCCCAGACCGCCAGCUAAGGUCCCAAAGUGUGUAUUAAGUGGAAAAGGAUGUGGAGUUGCUUAGACAACUAGGAUGUUGGCUUAGAAGCAGCCACCAUUUAAAGAGUGCGUAAUAGCUCACUAGUCGAGUGACUCUGCGCCGAAAAUGUACCGGGGCUAAAUACACCACCGAAGCUGCGGAUUGAUACCAAUGGUAUCAGUGGUAGGGGAGCGUUCUAAGGACAGUGAAGUCAGACCGGAAGGACUGGUGGAGUGCUUAGAAGUGAGAAUGCCGGUAUGAGUAGCGAAAGACGGGUGAGAAUCCCGUCCACCGAAUGCCUAAGGUUUCCUGAGGAAGGCUCGUCCGCUCAGGGUUAGUCAGGACCUAAGCCGAGGCCGACAGGCGUAGGCGAUGGACAACAGGUUGAUAUUCCUGUACCACCUCUUUAUCGUUUGAGCAAUGGAGGGACGCAGAAGGAUAGAAGAAGCGUGCGAUUGGUUGUGCACGUCCAAGCAGUUAGGCUGAUAAGUAGGCAAAUCCGCUUAUCGUGAAGGCUGAGCUGUGAUGGGGAAGCUCCUUAUGGAGCGAAGUCUUUGAUUCCCCGCUGCCAAGAAAAGCUUCUAGCGAGAUAAAAGGUGCCUGUACCGCAAACCGACACAGGUAGGCGAGGAGAGAAUCCUAAGGUGUGCGAGAGAACUCUGGUUAAGGAACUCGGCAAAAUGACCCCGUAACUUCGGGAGAAGGGGUGCUUUCUUAACGGAAAGCCGCAGUGAAUAGGCCCAAGCGACUGUUUAGCAAAAACACAGCUCUCUGCGAAGCCGUAAGGCGAAGUAUAGGGGGUGACACCUGCCCGGUGCUGGAAGGUUAAGGAGAGGGGUUAGCGUAAGCGAAGCUCUGAACUGAAGCCCCAGUAAACGGCGGCCGUAACUAUAACGGUCCUAAGGUAGCGAAAUUCCUUGUCGGGUAAGUUCCGACCCGCACGAAAGGUGUAACGAUUUGGGCACUGUCUCAACCAGAGACUCGGUGAAAUUAUAGUACCUGUGAAGAUGCAGGUUACCCGCGACAGGACGGAAAGACCCCGUGGAGCUUUACUGUAGCCUGAUAUUGAAUUUUGGUACAGUUUGUACAGGAUAGGCGGGAGCCUUUGAAACCGGAGCGCUAGCUUCGGUGGAGGCGCUGGUGGGAUACCGCCCUGACUGUAUUGAAAUUCUAACCUACGGGUCUUAUCGACCCGGGAGACAGUGUCAGGUGGGCAGUUUGACUGGGGCGGUCGCCUCCUAAAGUGUAACGGAGGCGCCCAAAGGUUCCCUCAGAAUGGUUGGAAAUCAUUCGUAGAGUGCAAAGGCAUAAGGGAGCUUGACUGCGAGACCUACAAGUCGAGCAGGGACGAAAGUCGGGCUUAGUGAUCCGGUGGUUCCGCAUGGAAGGGCCAUCGCUCAACGGAUAAAAGCUACCCCGGGGAUAACAGGCUUAUCUCCCCCAAGAGUCCACAUCGACGGGGAGGUUUGGCACCUCGAUGUCGGCUCAUCGCAUCCUGGGGCUGUAGUCGGUCCCAAGGGUUGGGCUGUUCGCCCAUUAAAGCGGUACGCGAGCUGGGUUCAGAACGUCGUGAGACAGUUCGGUCCCUAUCCGUCGUGGGCGUAGGAAAUUUGAGAGGAGCUGUCCUUAGUACGAGAGGACCGGGAUGGACGCACCGCUGGUGUACCAGUUGUUCUGCCAAGGGCAUAGCUGGGUAGCUAUGUGCGGAAGGGAUAAGUGCUGAAAGCAUCUAAGCAUGAAGCCCCCCUCAAGAUGAGAUUUCCCAUAGCGUAAGCUAGUAAGAUCCCUGAAAGAUGAUCAGGUUGAUAGGUUCGAGGUGGAAGCAUGGUGACAUGUGGAGCUGACGAAUACUAAUAGAUCGAGGACUUAACC